AGCAGCCGCGGUAAUUCCAGCUCCAAUAGCGUAUAUUAAAGUUGUUCGCAGUUAAAAAGCUCGUAGUUGAAUUUCGGGAUCAAUAUUUCGGUCAUGCCGUUGGUAUGCACUGUUAUCAUUGAUUUCUCACCUUCUAAAGAACCGUAAUGCCAUUAAUUUGGUGUUACGGGGAAUUAGGACUGUUACCUUGAAAAAAUUAGAGUGUUUAAAGCAGGCUCACGCUUGAAUACAUUAGCAUGGAAUAAUGAAAUAGGACGUUUGAUCCUAUUUUGUUGGUUUCUAGGAUCGACGUAAUGAUUAAUAGGGAUAGUUGGGGGCAUUAGUAUUCAAUUGUCAGAGGUGAAAUUCUUGGAUUUAUUGAAGACUAACUACUGCGAAAGCAUUUGCCAAGGAUGUUUUCAUUAAUCAAGAACGAAAGUUAGGGGAUCGAAGACGAUCAGAUACCGUCGUAGUCUUAACCAUAAACUAUGCCGACUAGGGAUCGGAUGAUGUUAAUUUUUUAAUGACUCA
rnacentral:rRNA from 1 species